GGCGCUAUAGCCAAGUGGUUACGGCGACAGAUUCGAAUGACAUCCUCUUCCGAGGAUAAGCUUGCUAUCUGUUCCUCUUUGAGGGCGCAGGUUCGAAUCCUGCUGGCGUCG
rfam:Coprinopsis cinerea okayama7#130 chromosome 2 cont3.2, whole genome shotgun sequence.